CUUGAGUACCUCCAGGGAUGGGAUGUCCACUGCCACUCAGGGUAACCUGUAUCAGUUCCUCAUCACCCUUAAUGUAAAAGCUUCUUCCUUAUGUCCAAUCUAAAUUUUCACUUUUAGUUUGAAACCAUUUCCCCUUUUUCUAUCACAGCAGACCCCGAUAGUCUGUCCCCUCCUUUCUUUAGAUACUAAAUGGCUCAAUUUUUCAAUUCUCUUUGAGUGACUUAGCUCGAUAUGAUUUAAGUCCUUUCAGUACUUUUGGCACUGCAAGACCUUUGCUAAAGACAAAUCCAGCUGGAACAGUGUCAGAGUACAUGUGUAAGACUGUGUAUAUACAUGUAUAUGUACAUAUACAAUCAGCAUUGCAUAUUGUAUCAAAAUUAUUGGUAAAUACUUUCAGAAAAGUUUGCUACAGGUAUAAUUGGAAAAUAUUAUAGUAAAUAGAUUUGUUAUUGAGUAUGUAUAUAUAAGCUAGCACAUAUUUAUAUGUUUCACCUUUCUAUUUAUAUACAUAAAAGAAAAUUUCUAUUAAUAUUUAUUUUCUGCAUAAUGCAGAAAAUAAUCUUUCACACAGCCACAAUUUGCUACAGAAGAACUCUGAAGUGAACUCAGUAAUGAGUUUCAGUCUAUUCACAUUUUCCUCAGAAUUAACUUGUCAUUACCUUAUUUUUUCCACAAGCAGCACAGAGCUGACUCACCUAAUUGGAAAAAAUCCAACAAAAAGGAAUAUUGAAUGUUUCUGAAAAUUAAUGGCUGUAUGUCUUAUCCCCUUUAUUUCCAGAUGGCAAUGUUUUCUUGUGAGUCCUAAGGGAAAAUUCUCAAUGAAUGCAUGAAUAUUUUCUCAUUUGAUAAAACCAUUGCAUUCUCCUCUUUGAUGAACUGUUCUUCCUCUGGUUGUUUCUGAUGGGUAUCUGCUUCAAUUCCAAGGCAACAACAGCAAGAUUGUGCCGUAUGAAUUAGAAGAAUAUUUUUCGUGCUGGAAAUCGUGACAGAUUGUCUUUCAUUUUAAAAUAUUUUUUAAUAAUUUGAAAAAUCAUACACUUGGCUUAAUUUCUACUGAGAGGUCACAGGUUGGAGAUGGCAUUGUAAAUCAGUUCGAUAAAUACUUCCAGGUUAAAACUGCCACUUCUGUGAGAUAGUAACUAAUCUUUGGCUUCUCAUCUUACAUUGUGCAGUUAUGAGAGGAGUUAACUGUUUACUAAAGACCUGUGAAAUAAAUGCAGAGAACCUCUGAGCAUCUCAGGAAAAGGCUGUGCACCAGAGGGCAGUGAGCAUGGAACAGGCUGAUCAGGUCAGUGGGCAGAGCCCUGAGUGCCGGACUUCAAGGAGCGUUUGGACACCGCUUUCAGACACAGGGUUUGGGUUUGGGCGGUCCUGUGCGGAGCCAGGGGUUGGACUCUGUGUGGGUUCCUCCCAACUCAUGGACAUUCUGUGAUUCUAUGAUAUUUAUUUAAUCAGUUAUUUAAAAAAGGCUACUUAUACUGACUGCAUUGGAACACAGAUAAAAUGCUGAGAACUAAAUACAGGCAUUUUUUUCCUUUCUCUUGAAGAAAAGAAAGUGCAGCUUCUCUGUCUUUGCUGUGAGGUGUCAGCACACCUGGAAUCCCUCAGAUUCACAACCAGCAUCCAGCAGGCAGUGAAAGAAAAGAGCAUCUGGGAAUCAUUCAGUAAAGCUCAGAUUCCUCUCCCUUCCCCUCCUUGGCCCUUAAUAAAUACCUCCAGGAACUUUCACCAUCCGCAGAGAGCAGAGAAAAGCAAGGGGACGUGGCCUCUGCACAGAUAAGAGAGGCAGCACAGGCAAACAGCAAGGUAAAGAAUCCACAAGAACACAUAUGAGGAAGAGGAUAGAGAGACAACUGAGUCAAGCAGAGAGCUGUCAUUUCCAGUAUGUAUCUUUCCAUGGUUUUUGUUUCUUUGCUGAUUAUCUACUUUCCAAUUCUAAAUCCACAGAAGUCAAUAAAAUGCUGCUAUCAACUACAGCAGGCUUUCUGUCAACAUCAAAACAAAAGAAUAAAUAAUACAAAUGUCAAGAUUUCCUUUCUACCUAUUCUGUAAAGCCUGCUUUAAUGUCAUUCUAUGGAGAACAAGUCCUUUUCAUUUUAUUUAAAAAGGUAAAUCAAAGAAAUAAUAAGCAGU